rnacentral:rRNA from 1 species
CGUAGGGUGCGAGCGUUGUCCGGAAUUAUUGGGCGUAAAGGGCUCGUAGGCGGUUUGUUGCGUCGGGAGUGAAAACUCAGGGCUUAACCCUGAGCCUGCUUCCGAUACGGGCAGACUAGAGGUAUGCAGGGGAGAACGGAAUUCCUGGUGUAGCGGUGAAAUGCGCAGAUAUCAGGAGGAACACCGGUGGCGAAGGCGGUUCUCUGGGCAUUACCUGACGCUGAGGAGCGAAAGUGUGGGGAGCGAACAGGAUU